GAUGAACGCUGGGCGGCGUGCCUAAUACAUGCAAGUCGAACGGAGCUCGGUUGGAAAGUUCUUCGGAACCGGAAUUCUGAGCUUAGUGGCGGACGGGUGAGUAACGCGUGAGCAAUCUGCCUUUGAGAGGGGGAUAACAGUCGGAAACGACUGCUAAUACCGCAUAAUGUAUCGUGAUCGCAUGGUCGUGAUACCAAAGAUUUUAUCGCUCAAAGAUGAGCUCGCGUCCCAUUAGCUAGUUGGUGAGGUAACGGCCCACCAAGGCGACGAUGGGUAGCCGGACUGAGAGGUUGAACGGCCACAUUGGGACUGAGACACGGCCCAGACUCCUACGGGAGGCAGCAGUAGGGAAUAUUGCGCAAUGGGGGCAACCCUGACGCAGCAACGCCGCGUGAUUGAUGAAGGUCUUCGGAUUGUAAAAAUCUUUAAUUAGGGACGAAUAAAUGACGGUACCUAAAGAAUAAGCUCCGGCUAACUACGUG
rnacentral:rRNA from 1 species